GGUUAAGCGACUAAGCGUACACGGUGGAUGCCCUGGCAGUCAGAGGCGAUGAAGGACGUGCUAAUCUGCGAUAAGCGUCGGUAAGGUGAUAUGAACCGUUAUAACCGGCGAUUUCCGAAUGGGGAAACCCAGUGUGUUUCGACACACUAUCAUUAACUGAAUCCAUAGGUUAAUGAGGCGAACCGGGGGAACUGAAACAUCUAAGUACCCCGAGGAAAAGAAAUCAACCGAGAUUCCCCCAGUAGCGGCGAGCGAACGGGGAGCAGCCCAGAGCCUGAAUCAGUGUGUGUGUUAGUGGAAGCGUCUGGAAAGGCGCGCGAUACAGGGUGACAGCCCCGUACACAAAAAUGCACAUGCUGUGAGCUCGAUGAGUAGGGCGGGACACGUGGUAUCCUGUCUGAAUAUGGGGGGACCAUCCUCCAAGGCUAAAUACUCCUGACUGACCGAUAGUGAACCAGUACCGUGAGGGAAAGGCGAAAAGAACCCCGGCGAGGGGAGUGAAAAAGAACCUGAAACCGUGUACGUACAAGCAGUGGGAGCACGCUUCGGCGUGUGACUGCGUACCUUUUGUAUAAUGGGUCAGCGACUUAUAUUCUGUAGCAAGGUUAACCGAAUAGGGGAGCCGAAGGGAAACCGAGUCUUAACUGGGCGUUAAGUUGCAGGGUAUAGACCCGAAACCCGGUGAUCUAGCCAUGGGCAGGUUGAAGGUUGGGUAACACUAACUGGAGGACCGAACCGACUAAUGUUGAAAAAUUAGCGGAUGACUUGUGGCUGGGGGUGAAAGGCCAAUCAAACCGGGAGAUAGCUGGUUCUCCCCGAAAGCUAUUUAGGUAGCGCCUCGUGAAUUCAUCUCCGGGGGUAGAGCACUGUUUCGGCAAGGGGGUCAUCCCGACUUACCAACCCGAUGCAAACUGCGAAUACCGGAGAAUGUUAUCACGGGAGACACACGGCGGGUGCUAACGUCCGUCGUGAAGAGGGAAACAACCCAGACCGCCAGCUAAGGUCCCAAAGUCAUGGUUAAGUGGGAAACGAUGUGGGAAGGCCCAGACAGCCAGGAUGUUGGCUUAGAAGCAGCCAUCAUUUAAAGAAAGCGUAAUAGCUCACUGGUCGAGUCGGCCUGCGCGGAAGAUGUAACGGGGCUAAACCAUGCACCGAAGCUGCGGCAGCGACGCUGAUGCGUUGUUGGGUAGGGGAGCGUUCUGUAAGCCUGUGAAGGUGUGCUGUGAGGCAUGCUGGAGGUAUCAGAAGUGCGAAUGCUGACAUAAGUAACGAUAAAGCGGGUGAAAAGCCCGCUCGCCGGAAGACCAAGGGUUCCUGUCCAACGUUAAUCGGGGCAGGGUGAGUCGACCCCUAAGGCGAGGCCGAAAGGCGUAGUCGAUGGGAAACAGGUUAAUAUUCCUGUACUUGGUGUUACUGCGAAGGGGGGACGGAGAAGGCUAUGUUGGCCGGGCGACGGUUGUCCCGGUUUAAGCGUGUAGGCUGGUUUUCCAGGCAAAUCCGGAAAAUCAAGGCUGAGGCGUGAUGACGAGGCACUACGGUGCUGAAGCAACAAAUGCCCUGCUUCCAGGAAAAGCCUCUAAGCAUCAGGUAACAUCAAAUCGUACCCCAAACCGACACAGGUGGUCAGGUAGAGAAUACCAAGGCGCUUGAGAGAACUCGGGUGAAGGAACUAGGCAAAAUGGUGCCGUAACUUCGGGAGAAGGCACGCUGAUAUGUAGGUGAAGUCCCUCGCGGAUGGAGCUGAAAUCAGUCGAAGAUACCAGCUGGCUGCAACUGUUUAUUAAAAACACAGCACUGUGCAAACACGAAAGUGGACGUAUACGGUGUGACGCCUGCCCGGUGCCGGAAGGUUAAUUGAUGGGGUUAGCCGCAAGGCGAAGCUCUUGAUCGAAGCCCCGGUAAACGGCGGCCGUAACUAUAACGGUCCUAAGGUAGCGAAAUUCCUUGUCGGGUAAGUUCCGACCUGCACGAAUGGCGUAAUGAUGGCCAGGCUGUCUCCACCCGAGACUCAGUGAAAUUGAACUCGCUGUGAAGAUGCAGUGUACCCGCGGCAAGACGGAAAGACCCCGUGAACCUUUACUAUAGCUUGACACUGAACAUUGAGCCUUGAUGUGUAGGAUAGGUGGGAGGCUUUGAAGUGUGGACGCCAGUCUGCAUGGAGCCGACCUUGAAAUACCACCCUUUAAUGUUUGAUGUUCUAACGUUGACCCGUAAUCCGGGUUGCGGACAGUGUCUGGUGGGUAGUUUGACUGGGGCGGUCUCCUCCUAAAGAGUAACGGAGGAGCACGAAGGUUGGCUAAUCCUGGUCGGACAUCAGGAGGUUAGUGCAAUGGCAUAAGCCAGCUUGACUGCGAGCGUGACGGCGCGAGCAGGUGCGAAAGCAGGUCAUAGUGAUCCGGUGGUUCUGAAUGGAAGGGCCAUCGCUCAACGGAUAAAAGGUACUCCGGGGAUAACAGGCUGAUACCGCCCAAGAGUUCAUAUCGACGGCGGUGUUUGGCACCUCGAUGUCGGCUCAUCACAUCCUGGGGCUGAAGUAGGUCCCAAGGGUAUGGCUGUUCGCCAUUUAAAGUGGUACGCGAGCUGGGUUUAGAACGUCGUGAGACAGUUCGGUCCCUAUCUGCCGUGGGCGCUGGAGAACUGAGGGGGGCUGCUCCUAGUACGAGAGGACCGGAGUGGACGCAUCACUGGUGUUCGGGUUGUCAUGCCAAUGGCACUGCCCGGUAGCUAAAUGCGGAAGAGAUAAGUGCUGAAAGCAUCUAAGCACGAAACUUGCCCCGAGAUGAGUUCUCCCUGACCCUUUAAGGGUCCUGAAGGAACGUUGAAGACGACGACGUUGAUAGGCCGGGUGUGUAAGCGCAGCGAUGCGUUGAGCUAACCGGUACUAAUGAACCGUGAGGCUUAACCUU
rnacentral:rRNA from 1 species